rnacentral:rRNA from 1 species
AUAGCGUAUAUUAAAGUUGUUGCAGUUAAAAAGCUCGUAGUUGAACUUCAGACCUGGUCGGGCGGUCUGCUUAACGGCAUGUACUGUCUGACUAAGCCUUACCUCUUGGUGAGCCGGCGUGCCCUUUAUUGGUUGUGCGUCGGGGAACCAGGACUUUUACCUUGAGAAAAUUAGAGUGUUCAAAGCAGGCCUAUGCCCGGAUACAUUAGCAUGGAAUAAUAGAAUAGGACGUGCGGUUCUAUUUUGUUGGUUUCUAGAGUCACCGUAAUGAUUAAUAGGGAUAGUUGGGGGCAUUGGUAUUGAGUCGCUAGAGGUGAAAUUCUUGGAUUGACUCAAGACCAACUAGUG